rnacentral:pre_miRNA from 1 species
UGGGCCUUAGUGGUACAGUGGAAGGUUUGACUAUCUACUGGCCUGCUAAGUCCCAAA